GACGAACGCUGGCGGCGUGCUUAACACAUGCAAGUCGAACGGAAAGGCCCCUUUGUGGGUACUCGAGUGGCGAACGGGUGAGUAACACGAGAGUAACCUGCCCUUGACUUCGGGAUAACUUCAGGAAACUGGGGCUAAUACCGGAUAGGAAUCCUUGCUGCAUGGUGGGGGUUGGAAAGCUUCGGCGGGUUUGGAUGGACUCGCUGCUUAUCAGCUUGUUGGUGGGGUUGUGGCUUACCAAGGCUUUUGCGGGUAGCCGGCCUGAGGAGGCGACCGGCCACAUUGGGACUGAGGUACGGCCCAGGCACCGACGGGAGGCAGCAGGGGGGAAUAUUGCACGAUGGGCGGAAGCCUGAUGCAGCAACGCCGCGGGCGGGAUGACGGCCUUCGGGUUGUAAACCGCUUUCAGCAGGAGCGAAGCUUGUGGUGACGGUACCUGCAGAAGAAGCACCGGCUAACUACGUG
rnacentral:rRNA from 1 species